GUCUCAUUCAAAGGAUGUGUUAUCAACCAUGAAGUUCUAGAAUAAUUCUUCAAAUAAUGUUCAUGGUGUUGACAAUACUUAUUGUCCUAGAAAUUCUGCACCCAGAAAUCUUUCUAUCAUAGAUUUGUUUUUGUUUACAUAAUUAUAAUUUUGACUACUAUUCUACCUUGUAGUAACAAACUUUUCAUUCAAUCGGAGAAUGGUUUACUUUAAAAGAACUUGGAAAGAAUACUUUAAAUUCAUUAGCAUCACUCUCUACAUUAGCAUUGUGAUGACUUAUUAAUGUAAUACAUCUUAAAAGCAGGAUUGUCCUAAUGUUCUGACCAAUCCGUAUUCCUUAGUACCCUUCAACUGACUAAAUUAAAAUAUAAUAAACUUGGGGUCAUACUGCCCAGAAACUCUUAUUCCUAGUCUGUG